CCCCUAGAAAUUAAAGUGACAUAAAUUAACGUCAAACAAAGCUUCAAUGGUGCUUGUUUCGUAUCUUCGUAUACGUUUUCAAACGAUCGGGCGUAGCGUUUCGUUUCGAGAGGUUGGUACCCUGAAAAGUCCAAAUAAAUCUUUAUUCCACUAAAACAGAUUUCUUUAAGAAUCUGAAUCUUCAAUCUAAUCGAAUUAUGAAGAUUUAUCAUUAUAUAUAUUACGUGUAAUGAUGUCUCGCUUUUUCCCUAAUACUUAUCGCAGCUAUCGUUCGAUGUUCUAUGAGAAGUAAUGUAUUUGUGCUAAUAUGCUUCAGCUAAUAUAAGUCGUUAGCUAGAUGAAAGGACGAAUAUGUGAAAAUUGAAAAUAUGUAUUCUAAAGUACGCCAUCGGAUAGCACGAUAUUUGAAACAAAAGAAGUACAAGAGUGAUCGAGUACGUUUCGCUUUAUGAAUAAACUGAUUUAUUUUCGAUCAGGGGGGAGGCGGGAUAACGAUAAAUAUGUUGGACCUGAUAUGGUACUCAAAUUUUGCAGAACUAAAAUGGAAAAGAAAACAUACUAAAUAGAACUGUACGAAACAGAAGCGAAGAUGAAAGAUGACGAAAGCAGAGAAAGAAAGAGAGGAAUAGUUGAACACCAGAAAAUUUUAGUUCAUCGGAGAAGCAUGAUUUACUACGUAUUCGUGCAACUUACGUAUCGGCUAUUGACAUGCUUAAAUAUGACUAUUAAUUAAAAGCAUUGAAUCAUAAGCUCUGCAUACCACGGUGAAGGAGGGUUCGACAAGGAACUUAAGAAAGAAAUUCAACUAGAAAUCAAAGCGGUGUGUGACGGUGAGUGAGAAGGAGGAGCGAAACGAAAGAAGUACAGUCGAACAAGUUUGUGAAAGUUUGGCAGCGAAGAAGGUAGAAAGCACGCAGUAAAAUCAUUUCUACGAACCCUGGUGGAAUCAACACCCUCGACCAACGCUCUGGUCCUCUCGGUUGCCUUCACGGUGACCUUCAACACUCCAUCUACGUAGACGUGAUACGACUCCAACUGAUGAGUAUUAUCUGGCGCCGUCCAACCGAUUAGAACGCUCUUGUUCAGCUGCCGCUCAAGCGUAAGGUGCUGCGGCGCCGGAACUAGGUCCGAAAACAGCAAAACGACAGAUAAAUGAAUAGAAAGAAAUUAUAAAGGAAAUCGGUAUACUACCGGCAAGCGUAAUCAAAAGUUGUUAUGUAUUCUU